GUGAGGAAUAUUGGUCAAUGGACGAGAGUCUGAACCAGCCAAGUCGCGUGAAGGAAGACGGUUCUAUGAAUUGUAAACUUCUUUUGUGCAGGAAUAAAGUGGGUUACGUGUAACCUUUUGUAUGUACUGUACGAAUAAGGAUCGGCUAACUCCGUGCCAGCAGCCGCGGUAAUACGGAGGAUCCGAGCGUUAUCCGGAUUUAUUGGGUUUAAAGGGUGCGUAGGUGGAUUGAUAAGUCAGCGGUGAAAGUUUGCAGCUUAACUGUAAAAUUGCCAUUGGAACUGUCGGUCUUGAGUGCAAAUGAGGUAGGCGGAAUGUGUUGUGUAGCGGUGAAAUGCUUAGAUAUAACACAGAACUCCGAUUGCGAAGGCAGCUUACUGGGAUGCAACUGACACUGAUGCACGAAAGCGUGAGUAUCAAACAGGAUUAGAAACCCGUGUAGUCC
rnacentral:rRNA from 1 species